AGAGUUUGAUCAUGGCUCAGGAUGAACGCUAGCGACAGGCUUAACACAUGCAAGUCGAGGGGCAGCGAGGGAGUGGCAACACUUCUGUCGGCGACCGGCGCACGGGUGAGUAACGCGUAUGCAACCUGCCCUUCACAGGGGGAUAACCGGGAGAAAUUCCGACUAAUACCGCAUACGUCCUCCGGGGGCAUCCCCGGGGGAUGAAAGAGUUAUCGGUGAAGGAUGGGCAUGCGUGAUAUUAGGUAGUUGGCGGGGCAACGGCCCACCAAGCCCACGAUAUCUAGGGGUUCUGAGAGGAAGGUCCCCCACAUUGGUACUGAGACACGGACCAAACUCCUACGGGAGGCAGCAGUGAGGAAUAUUGGUCAAUGGACGAGAGUCUGAACCAGCCAAGUCGCGUGAAGGAAGACGGAUCUAUGGUUUGUAAACUUCUUUAGUGCGGGAACAAAGCGGCGUCGUGACGCCGGAUGAGUGUACCGCAAGAAUAAGCAUCGGCUAACUCCGUGCCAGCAGCCGCGGUAAUACGGAGGAUGCGAGCGUUAUCCGGAUUUAUUGGGUUUAAAGGGAGCGCAGGCUGCGAGGCAAGUCAGCGGUCAAAUGUCGGGGCUCAACCCCGGCCUGCCGUUGAAACUGUUUUGCUAGAGUUCGAGUGAGGUAUGCGGAAUGCGUUGUGUAGCGGUGAAAUGCAUAGAUAUGACGCAGAACUCC
rnacentral:rRNA from 1 species